GAUGAACGCUGACAGAAUGCUUAACACAUGCAAGUCAACUUGAACUUCGGUUUGGGUGGCGGACGGGUGAGUAACGCGUAAAGAACUUGCCUCACAGAUAGGGACAACAUUUGGAAACGAAUGCUAAUACCUGAUAUUAUGAUUAUAUGGCAUCGUAUAAUUAUGAAAGCUAUAUGCGCUGUGAGAGAGCUUUGCGUCCCAUUAGCUAGUUGGAGAGGUAACGGCUCACCAAGGCGAUGAUGGGUAGCCGGCCUGAGAGGGUGAUCGGCCACAAGGGGACGGAGACACGGCCCUUACUCCUACGGGAGGCAGCAGUGGGGAAUAUUGGACAAUGGACCAAGAGUCUGAUCCAGCAAUUCUGUGUGCACGAUGAAGUUUUUCGGAAUGUAAAGUGCUUUCAGGUGGGAAGAAAAAAAUGACGGUACCAACAGAAGAAGUGACGGCUAAAUACGUG
rnacentral:rRNA from 1 species